UACGUAGGUGGCGAGCGUUAUCCGGAUUUAUUGGGUUUAAAGGGUGCGUAGGCGGGCUGUUAAGUCAGCGGUCAAAUCGUGGGGCUCAACCCCAUCCAGCCGUUGAAACUGGGGAUCUAGAGUGUGCGAGAGGUAUGCGGAAUGCGUGGUGUAGCGGUGAAAUGCAUAGAUAUAUGGAAGAACACCAGUGGCGAAGGCGGCCGCCUGGCCUGUUACUGACGCUGAGGCACGAAAGCGUGGGGAGCAAAUAGG
rnacentral:rRNA from 1 species